rnacentral:rRNA from 1 species
AGGAUAAACGCUGGCGGCGUGCCUAACACAUGCAAGUCGAGCGCCUGUAGCAAUACAGGAGCGGCAGACGGGAGAGUAACACGUGGGAACGUACCCUUCAGUACGGAACAACCAAGGGAAACUUUGGCUAAUACCGUAUACGUCCGUAAGGAGAAAGAUUUAUCGCUGAAGGAUCGGCCCGCGUCUGAUUAGCUAGUUGGUGGGGUAAUGGCCCACCAAAGCUACGAUCAGUAGCUGGUCUGAGAGGAUGAUCAGCCUCAUUGGGACUGAGACGACGGCCCAAACUCCUACGGGAGGCAGCAGUGGGGAAUAUUGGACAAUGGACGCAAGCCUGAUCCAGCCAUGCCGCGUGGAUGAUGAAGGCCUUAGGGUUGUAAAGUCCUUUUAACGGGGAAGAUAAUGACGGUACCCGUAGAAUAAGCCCGGCUAACUUCGUGCCAGCAGCCGC